rnacentral:rRNA from 1 species
UCGAGAAUUUUUCACAAUGGGGGAAACCCUGAUGGAGCGACGCCGCGUGGAGGACGAAGGGCUUCGUGCUUGUAAACUCCUGUCAAGCGGGAACAAGAAAGUGAUAGUACCGCUAGAGGAAGAGACGGCUAACUCUGUGCCAGCAGCCGCGGUAAUACAGAGGUCUCAAGCGCUGUUCGGAUUUAUUGGGCGUAAAGGGUGCGUAGGCGGCGUGGUAAGUCGAGUGUGAAAUCUCGGGGCUCAACCCCGAAACUGCACUCGAUACUGCCAUGCUAGAGGAUUGUAGAGGAGAUCGGAAUUCACGGUGUAGCAGUGAAAUGCGCAGAUAUCGUGAGGAAGACCAGUUGCGAAAGCGGAUCUCUGGGCAAUUCCUGACGCUGAGGCACGAAGGCUAGGGGAGCAAACGGG